UACGGCCACAUGACUUUGAGACACUGAUUUCUGUACGAUCACCGAAGUAAAGCAACGUCGAGUUUGGUUAGUACCUUGAUGGGUGACCUCUUCGGAAAAUUAUGUGUUGUAUG